UAAGAAAUAAACACUUUCUUUUUUCUUUUCAAGUCGCCGCCCCCUUUUUCUGGCCAAACCAAAGGGCCCCUUUUGCUUUUGUUUUUCCCUCAUAGACCUUCUCUUUCCUAGCCAACCAAAAGCAGAACUACCCUUUAUUAUAUUCCUCCUUAGCCAACAUAUUUCCCCUCUCGCAGCCAGCUCACUCUUCUCUUUCCCUUACUCUUCUCUUUUUUUUUUCCCUGCACAUAAGUCUCCUUUCUCCCCUCAGCCGCCAGCCACACCUAGAGCCUCUAUUUUCUCCCUCUCACAGACGCCGUCUCCAUUUUCUCUCCUUCCCCCCUUGCCAUUUCGACACCUCCCAUCUGGACCAGAGCCCGACUUUCCUUUCCUCCAUAGACAAGCCACACACUCGACCUUUCUUUUCUCUGUCAUUUUUCAUUUUCUGCAACCGCCAUCUCCUCCUGACCAACCUUCCAUCUCUCAGUCAUUCCCAGAAAAAGAAAAAAAAAGCCCGACCCAAUGUCUCAAUUUUAAAACCCCUUAAUCCAA
rnacentral:lncRNA from 1 species